ACGUAGGUGGCAAGCGUUGUCCGGAAUUAUUGGGCGUAAAGGGCGCGCAGGCGGCCGAUUAAGUCUGAUGUGAAAUCCCACGGCUUAACCGUGGAAGGUCAUUGGAAACUGAUUGGCUUGAGUGCAGAAGAGGAGAGUGGAAUUCCACGUGUAGCGGUGAAAUGCGUAGAUAUGUGGAGGAACACCAGUGGCGAAGGCGGCUCUCUGGACCGACACUGACGCUGAGGCGCGAAAGCCAGGGGAGCAAACGGGA
rnacentral:rRNA from 1 species